ensembl:lncRNA
GUUUGACAGAAAACUGAGCACCUGACAAGAGGAAGAGCUGAAGGACAGAAUUUCCAGUGAGAUUCUCAGUUAUGGCUCUAAUUUCUACUGCAGCUAAAAGUGAGCACAGUUAGCAGGUGCUCUGUGUUACAUCAUCUGGAGGCAGAGAGCAUGGGAGGUCAUCUGUGUGUCUGCAUAGCACCUGUGCUCACACUAUCUGACUUGGAAUCUGUUCCUUCUUGGAAGUUUUUCUCACUCGCACAUAAUUAUUGAGCUAGUGGAGCAAUUCUAUGCACUGAAUGGAUUUCUCAGAGUGCCACGCUGAAGCAGAAACAGAAGGAUGAAAGGUUCUAUAUUCUCUUAUAAACGGUUUCCUGAGAAGCACCACAAUGCUGGCUUCUCACUGUAGCAAUCAAGAGCUGAAGGCAGCAGUUGUUGCUGUUGGUGGCUGAAGCCAUGCAGCAUAUGCCAGCAAUGGAACAUGGUCUUUACCCAGAUGCCUGUGUGAAGGUAAGGUGAAGCUGCAGGAGCCACAGAAAUCAAGCAUUCUUCUGGUGAAGCUUUCUAAGAUCAGAAGUGCCAAUGAAAUCAAGGACGACAAAUGAACGAUGUGUUAAAACAGGUGUGGCAGUGGAGAAAGGAGCCCUUGUGGUCACUGCUGCCCACAGACUGGCACUGGGUGCGUGCAUACUGACAGUCACAGACUCCACUGUAGUUUGAGCAUCCGAAGAGCAUAAAGCCUGGGUGGCUAUGAAUGACUUCCAUGUGUCAUUUGAAUGAAGGUAUUUUGAAGACUGGCUAUUGACACCUGAAACAAUUACUAUUCUGCUCGUGGAUUUGACACCUCAGACUAGUUAAUCACCAGAGGGGCUUCACAUGCCAUCAGAAGGCUCUUCUGAAGGCUACUCGGCCUGUGUCUGUCUAAGCCUGCCUGCAGUACUGUAUGCUGAAGAAAAGGGUUUGUCCAGUGCUCUUCCCAAAAGAGUAUCAGGCAUCAUGCUGGUGUUCUUUAAACUUUCACACUGCAUAGAGUAAUUAUGUUUCCCUUUCUCACAGUCUCUUGCAGUGCUACAUGUCAAGGUUGACUACGCUUUUCCUGAUUACUCCCACUCUUAGUUAUUUUAAUUCUCUUUGCCAAACCUGGUUCAAGUGUCUGAGCUUGCUGCUAAGCAAUAAGGAUCUAAUAUAUACACAUUGAUUUUACUUUAAUCAAUUCGGAUUACUCUUAGUAGACAGUUUUUAUUAACUGAGUAAGAUGAUCUAAUCUAAGGAAAUCGGGACAAUUCAGGAGGAAAAAAAAAAAAGAGUUUUAGAACAAAACUUGUUUCUGUCCACGAGGAGAUCCUGGCAUUAUUCAUGUAGUGGGCUCACCCCUAGCACUUCAUAUACAAAUAUAUUGCAGCAAAUAGUACUAAAAUCUUAACAAGGACCUGUCAUGCUUGCUAUCAAUACUAACAUGAGCUCACUACAUUAAUGAAUUUGAGUUUUUAAGAUAAACUCCAAAAGCAGUGGCUUUGCCAAGCCAGUAGAUUAAUUGUGUUAGUAAAAACAGGUCUGGGCUGCGAUCUUGUGGUUUGACUAGUUUUGCACUUGAGGAAAAUUUAAAUGCAUAUAUCUCAUUUCCUUUCCUGUGCUCACUUGCUUCGUGAUUACUGUGUGCUGUUGAAAGGGAUACAACUGCAUCUAAGAAAUACAUAGAAAUUCUGAUGUGCUAAUAUAUUUAACAUACUGUGAAUUGUGUGUGUUUUCAGAGCAUUUAUGCAUUAUUUAAUACAAUACAUUAUUAGUUAUCAAAAAUAACUUUAAACACACACAUAAAAAAGAUGCACUUCACUAGGGCAUAGUACAACCAGAAGUGAAGUAUAGAUUAAGACAGCAGAGAUCUCCCACUCCCUAUACGAAAAAGUGACUUAUUUGAAAUGUUACUUAUGAUAAAGGCUAUCUUCAGCAUGAUGUGCUACUCUUUGCAGAGUGUUCACUCAAAGUUUGCAGAAAUGACAAAAUGUAAGAAGAGAAUGUAAUCUGCAAAGACAGUCAGAGUUUCCUGACUUUCAAUAGCUGAUAUAAAUAAAUACACAUAU